rnacentral:rRNA from 1 species
AUUGAACGCUGGCGGCAGGCCUAACACAUGCAAGUCGAACGGUAACAGGAAGACGCUUGCUUCUUUGCUGACGAGUGGCGGACGGGUGAGUAAUGUCUGUGAAACUGCCUGAUGGAGGGGGAUAACUACUGGAAACGGUAGCUAAUACCGCAUAACGUCGCAAGACCAAAGAGGGGGACCUUCGGGCCCCUUGCCAUCGGAUGUGCCCAGAUGGGAUUAGCUAGUAGGUGGGGUAACGGCUCACCCAGGCGACGAUCCCUAGCUGGUCUGAGAGGAUGACCAGCCACACUGGAACUGAGACACGGUCCAGACUCCUACGGGAGGCAGCAGUGGGGAAUAUUGCACAAUGGGCGCAAGCCUGAUGCAGCCAUGCCGCGUGUAUGAAGAAGGCCUUCGGGUUGUAAAGUACUUUCAGCGGGGAGGAAGGGAGUAAAGUUAAUACCUUUGCUCAUUGACGUUACCCGCAGAAGAAGCACCGGCUAACUCCGUG